GAUGGGUGGCCAUAGCAAUGGUGCCAAGGGGAGCGUGUUGCACUAUGCGUGACAUCAUUGGAGUCUGCUGGCAUCUGCGCUCAUUCGGAGGAGGGUUUCGGUGGAGGGUUCUUGUUCUUUCCUCUUUUAAACUAUAUAAGACAUAAAUCCUAAAUAUAUGGCCUGUUAGGAGUACUUGAGGACUGGAGUUGAAAACCCCUGCUAUAUACUGUGCUUACUGUCUACAAAGUUUCGGAUCCUCCGUGACGCGCUGCAGGCAGGCAGUGAGUGAUGACUUAAUUUGACUGACCCGCGCCGCCUGACGCUGCCCGCCAUGGACACUCCGAGGUGGUAUUUAGGAGCUAUAAUCGGAACAGUAGAGCAACAUCUACUGUCUACUCCACCAGGACAGGAAGAACUGGACAGAAACCUAUUGCAGGACAUAACUAAAAUGGCAUUAAAAGGAGAGGUAAUAAUCAUGGGAGACUUUAAUCUACCUGAUGUAAACUGGGAGAUGUCUGUUGCUAGUUCCACUAGAAUUAGGGACAUUUUAAAUUCCCUUCAGGGAGCAUCCCUCCACCAAUUGGUGAGGGAGCCUACUCGGAAAGACGCAAUAUUAGACUUAAUACUUAGAAAUGGAGACAGAAUAUCGGAUGUAAAAGUGGGUGAAAACCUGGGAUCCAGUGAUCAUCAAGUAGUAUGGUGUUGGAUUUUAGGAAGUCUAAUUUUGUAGGGAUGGGAAAAUGUGUAAGCGUUUCUUUGGCAGAGUGGAGGAACUUGGAUGCAGUGCACGAGA